rnacentral:misc_RNA from 1 species
AAGUCGUAACAAGGUUUUCGUAGGUGAACCUGCGAAAGGAUCAUUAACGAGUUAGGGUCCUCUAGGCCCGACCUCCCAACCCUUUGCUUACCGAACCUCUGUUGCUUCGGCGGGCCCGUCUCACGACCGCCGGAGGACCGCCGCAGGGCGUGUCCUCUAGCCCGUGUCCGCCGAUAGCCAACUACAAAACUCUGUAUAAAUCAUGUCUCAUGUCUAAGUCAAAUUGAAUUAAAAGCAAAACUUUCAACAACGGAUCUCUUGGUUCUG